rnacentral:rRNA from 1 species
AACGAACGCUGGCGGCAGGCCUAACACAUGCAAGUCGAGCGAGGACUUCGGUUCUAGCGGCGGACGGGUGAGUAACGCGUGGGAAUGUGCCCUUCUCUACGGAAUAGCCCUGGGAAACUGGGAGUAAUACCGUAUACGCCCUAUUGGGGAAAGAUUUAUCGGAGAAGUAUCAGCCCGCGUUGGAUUAGGUAGUUGGUGGUGUAAUGGCCUACCAAGCCGACGAUCCAUAGCUGGGUUGAGAGGAUGAUCAGCCACACUGGGACUGAGACACGGCCCAGACUCCUACGGGAGGCAGCAGUGGGGAAUCUUAGACAAUGGGGGCAACCCUGAUCUAGCCAUGCCGCGUAAGUGAUGAAGGCCUUAGGGUUGUAAAGCUCUUUCAGCUGGGAAGAUAAUGACGGUACCAGCAGAAGAAGUCCCGGCUAACUCCGUG